CUUGCUUCUCUGAUGUUAGCGGCGGACGGGUGAGUAACACGUGGGUAACCUACCUAUAAGACUGGGAUAACUCCGGGAAACCGGGGCUAAUACCGGAUAAUAUUUUGAACCGCAUGGUUCAAUAGUGAAAGACGGUUUCGGCUGUCACUUAUAGAUGGACCCGCGCCGUAUUAGCUAGUUGGUAAGGUAACGGCUUACCAAGGCGACGAUACGUAGCCGACCUGAGAGGGUGAUCGGCCACACUGGAACUGAGACACGGUCCAGACUCCUACGGGAGGCAGCAGUAGGGAAUCUUCCGCAAUGGGCGAAAGCCUGACGGAGCAACGCCGCGUGAGUGAUGAAGGUCUUCGGAUCGUAAAACUCUGUUGUUAGGGAAGAACAAAUUUGUUAGUAACUGAACAAGUCUUGACGGUACCUAACCAGAAAGCCACGGCUAACUACGUGCCAGCAGCCGCGGUAAUACGUAGGUGGCAAGCGUUAUCCGGAAUUAUUGGGCGUAAAGCGCGCGUAGGCGGUUUCUUAAGUCUGAUGUGAAAGCCCACGGCUCAACCGUGGAGGGUCAUUGGAAACUGGGAAACUUGAGUGCAGAAGAGGAGAGUGGAAUUCCAUGUGUAGCGGUGAAAUGCGCAGAGAUAUGGAGGAACACCAGUGGCGAAGGCGGCUCUCUGGUCUGUAACUGACGCUGAUGUGCGAAAGCGUGGGGAUCAAACAGGAUUAGAUACCCUGGUAGUCCACGCCGUAAACGAUGAGUGCUAAGUGUUAGGGGGUUUCCGCCCCUUAUUGCUGCAGCUAACGCAUUAAGCACUCCGCCUGGCGAGUACGACCGCGAGGUUGAUACUCAAAGGAAUUGACGGAGACCCGCACAAGCGGUGUAGCAUGUGUUUAAUUCGAAGCGACGCGAAAAACCUUACCAAAUCUUGACGUCCUUUGACCGCUCUAGAGAUAUAUUCUUCGCCUUCGCGGGACAAAGUGACAGGUGGUACAUGAUUGUCUUCUCUCCCAACAGGAAAGUUGGAUUAAAGCCCCGCCCCACCCCAACCCUUAGGUUUUUUUCCUUGUUUAUUUUGGCCGCGGAGAUUACUCCCCUCGCCGCCCCCAAGAAAG
rnacentral:rRNA from 1 species